AACGAACGCUGGCGGCGCGCCUAAUACAUGCAAGUCGAGCGAGAAGACGUAGCAAUACGUUUGUAAAGCGGCGAACGGGUGAGGAAUACAUGGGUAACCUACCCUCGAGUGGGGAAUAACUAGCCGAAAGGUUAGCUAAUACCGCGUACGCUCCUUGGACUUCGGUUCAGGGAGGAAAGCGAUACCGUGGGUAUCGCGCUCUUGGAUGGGCUCAUGUCCUAUCAGCUUGUUGGUGAGGUAACGGCUCACCAAGGCUUCGACGGGUAGCUGGUCUGAGAGGACGAUCAGCCACACUGGCACUGCGACACGGGCCAGACUCCUACGGGAGGCAGCAGUAAGGAAUAUUGCGCAAUGGGCGAAAGCCCUGACGCAGCGACGCCGCGUGGGGGAU
rnacentral:rRNA from 1 species